GAUGAACGCUGGCGGAGUGCCUAAUACAUGCAAGUCGAGCGAACGGACGAGAAGCUUGCUUCUCUGAUGUUAGCGGCGGACGGGUGAGUAACACGUGGAUAACCUACCUAUAAGACUGGGAUAACUUCGGGAAACCGGAGCUAAUACCGGAUGAUAUUUUGAACCGCAUGGUUCAAAAGUGAAAGACGGUCUUGCUGUCACUUAUAGAUGGAUCCGCGCUGCAUUAGCUAGUUGGUAAGGUAACGGCUUACCAAGGCAACGAUGCAUAGCCGACCUGAGAGGGUGAUCGGCCACACUGGAACUGAGGCACGGUCCAGACUCCUACGGGAGGCAGCAGUAGGGAAUCUUCCGCAAUGGGCGAAAGCCUGACGGAGCAACGCCGCGUGAGUGAUGAAGGUCUUCGGAUCGUAAAACUCUGUUAUUAGGGAAGAACAUAUGUGUAAGUAACUGUGCACAUCUUGACGGUACCUAAUCAGAAAGCCACGGCUAACUACGUG
rnacentral:rRNA from 1 species